rnacentral:rRNA from 1 species
ACGAGAAAGCCUGGCUUCGGUCGGGUGAGUAAAGUGGCGCACGGGUGAGUAACGCGUAGGUAAUCUACCCUUAUAUCUGGGAUAACUCCACGAAAGCGGAGCUAAUACCGGAUACGCUUUUUGUUACGCGAGUAACGGGAAGGAAAGGUGGCCUCUGAUUCAAGCUACCGUAUAGGGAUGAGCCUGCGUACCAUUAGCUAGUUGGUGGGGUAAAGGCCCACCAAGGCGACGAUGGUUAGCGGGUCUGAGAGGAUGAUCCGCCACACUGGAACUGGAACACGGACCAGACUCCUACGGGAGGCAGCAGUGAGGAAUUUUGCGCAAUGGGGGCAACCCUGACGCAGCGACGCCGCGUGGGUGAAGAAGGCUUUCGGGUUGUAAAGCCCUGUCAAGUGGGAAGAAGUGCUAUGUGGUUAAUACCCAUGUAGUUUGACGGUACCACUGGAGGAAGCACCGGCUAACUCCGUGCCAGCAGCCGCGGUAAUACGGAGGGUGCGAGCGUUGUUCGGAAUUACUGGGCGUAAAGGGCGCGUAGGCGGCCAUAUAAGUCAGUUGUGAAAGUCCGCGGCUCAACCGUGGAAGUGCAGCUGAAACUGUAUGGCUUGAGUAUAGGAGAGGGAAGUGGAAUUCCCGGUGUAGAGGUGAAAUUCGUAGAUAUCGGGAGGAACACCGGUGGCGAAGGCGACUUCC